UCCAUCCAGUAGGGGGGCGAUAGAGGCAGCAUGUCCACAGACUUGUGCUUCCGACUGUGGGCGAAUGUAAAACGGCGCGUUGGCGUACACCACUGCCACCAACAUAACCUUGCAAUUUGUGUGCAAAUCCUUUAUUUAUUCGGUUAUACUGUGACCAAGAGGGAUUCCACUCCAAUUAGAAUUCAAACGUUGUUGGACGGAAAGUUUUUGCAUCACAUGCUGCAGUUGCCGUGUGAAGAUGCACUCAGAAUGGCCUGAGUAUGGCCAAAGGCGGCACCAUGGUGACAGAGACCGAAGAUGGAGGGAUGAUUACAAUGAUAAAUGGGAAAAUAGGCAUGAAUACCAUAGAGAUGUACAGUGGGAUUCCUAUCCUAAGCAUGGUGGUUCUGGGCCUGGUAGAGCAGAGAGAAACAGCAGAAGUACAGACUACAGUGACUCACCUCAAAAGUUGUACUCUAAAGACUCCCUGGACCGAGACAGAGAUGGGGAUAGGAGGAGCCCAGUGAGGAGACGCUUGUCUUCCCCGGACAGGAGGGUUGUUGAAAAGAAAACACGAAGGUUCACAGAUGAGAGCCGUGAUGACUACAGCUAUAGAUGUGAGCCUGAUGGCAAAAACUACAGGCAGCCACAAGACAGUUAUUCAAAGGAUUUUAAACAUACGUUGCCAGAGGAAGUAGAUUUUACAUAUAGGAGUAGUAUGCAAGAUUCCAGAAGCCGACAUAGACAUGAAGAGUUUACUUCCAGGUACCACAAGCCCUAUGAUUCCAGUCACAGACAACUGUCUACAUAUAACAAAGACAGAGAUGAUCAUGAAAGAAACCAGAGUUUUUUACUUAAACUUCCAGAAGAUGACACCACAAAGAGAUACGUGAAAUCCAGAGAACAGAAGAAUAGCUCUCCUACAGAUCGUGUGGAUCAUCGUCAAAAUCAAGCAAGGAAUUAUUUGGAUGGAUCUAAGAGACUGUGUUUUGAGCAUGUGACCAAGCCCAGUCAGGAUGUACCUGAGAAGAAGGCCGCCAAUGGUUUCCAAAGGUUCCUUGAAGUACUCAAUAAAGGUGUGGAUGUGGACAUACUCAACCAGAUUGUGAUCCAGACCGGUCCUGAAGAUGGUGGUCAACCACAAUCUGCAGCAUCUUUCCACAAUGUACUUGAUCAUCCCUGUUUUCCAGAAAAGCAGGUAAGGCAUCUCAAUGUGAAUACAUGGAAUGAAGAGAAUUUUGGAGAGGAAUGCCACAGGCUGCCUUUUCAACGGCAACGUCUCGGGUCCUUCGGCCCAAAGAGGAGCUCUCCGUAUGAUGACAUGUCAGUGCAAAGGAGUGAGGGAGGACAAGGCUGCACGGGGUCCAUGUUACUUCCUGCGGUGGAGAAGAAAACACUGACGCCUGAAGAUGAGCACAAGCACCAGCAAAUGCAGGAAGUGUUGCAGGCCAUUGGGGUGGACUUGGGAUUCGAAGAAGUCGGUCAAAUGUCGCACCGGAUUAACGAGCGAUUAUAUGGAAAGAAAGAAAGCGACUGGAACUACCAGAGUACAGGAAGCAGGGAAAGGGUCACGAGAGCAGCCUACUCUCCAAGGCGCAGCAGCAGGUCAUCAUCCUCCUCAUCAUCAUCACACAGAUCUAAACCUUCAUAUAACGACUACUCUGUUCACACAGACUCAUACAAUGCUCAGAGCAAUUUAAAAGUGGAUCAAGUCCAGGUCCCUUACACUAUCAACAACAGUAGCUCUUUACCAGACAAUCAGAAAUGUGAAAUCCAUGAAAACAUUCUUCCAAAUACCACCAUCAAAACAUUAAUACCCAAUAUGCUCACAACGCCAGCCUAUCGUCCAGUGAAUUACCCCCCAGUGCUGUACCCACCUCUGCUCCCCAAUGUUUCCAAUGUUAGGCCCAGACUUCUCAUUCCUCCCCUACCUUCUUUGCUUCGUCAGUCUCCCAUGUUCCCUUUGCCGGGUCGGCCUCCCCUCCUGCCUUAUCCUUGUCCAUCACCUUUGAAUAUCCUUCCAUCUGUACUCGCUCAAACGAGGCACCUCCUCCCCACACCCAUGAAUAACAUCCAGCCACCAUUUAUUAACCUGCCAAAUGUACCAAAUCCACUUCACAGUGUAGAUACUUCACCAAAGUCUAAAGUGGUAUCGAGGCCUCGUUGUUUGCUGGUCAUUGAUACAAAACAUCCCAGAUAAAUAAUGCUUAAUUAGGAUGUGAAAUCUAGUAUUCCUGUGUGCACAUGAACAAAAUUGUAUGUAACCCUCUGUUAAUCAAUCAAAAAGAGGACACACCGGAGAUUAACGUCCCUAUGGUCAAAUUGUUUUCAAUCUUUUCUCGGGGUACCAUCGUUUUUGUCCAGACCAGUUUCAUUAUUAUUAUUAUUAUUUAUAUUUUUAUGAUUCUUUUGAACCACAAUUCAAAAGCGUCUGAUUUUCUUUGGUUAAUUUCCAGUAAUUUUUAUUUAUUAUUAUUAUUAUUAGUUUUGCCAGUUUCAAGUUAUUUCAAUAACUCUUGUGGGGUUUCCUUUCACCAACAGUGGAGUACCGACAAUUUUGUCCAGGUGUGCAUAUUGUUAUUCACCACUAAGCACAGAGCCCACAUGCAGCACAUUUGAGUUCUAAGGUAACAAAUGUUGACGCAGUUGUAAACUGUCCAUCAGCAAGCAAAAAAAAUAAGACCAGAAAAUGUUAAAUCACUGACAGUGAAAUUACAGUUGCCUAAAAAUGUGAUGCAUCGUGAUUUUGGAUUUUAACUAAAUUUGCAAGCACUAGGUAGUUGUUUUUUUAAAAUUUGACACAUUUUCUUUUGAUGUGAGCGCAUAGAAAAUGCUUGUAAAUAUACUGUAUCUAUUGUAAUACACUUGUUCUCUAAGUAAAGUGGUCAUUCGCAUUGUUUCUUUCUUGCAUUAAAAAUGUGACAUAAAUACUACAUUUAAAUUUCAUACAAUUUUCUAUGUCAAGCUCAAAUAGGGGCAAAGGCUUUUUUUAUAUUGUAAACCUUGCAUGGUUAACUACUCCUUGAUAUGUUGAAGGGAAAAAAGUAAUCCAGGAAAUGGUCUUUUUUUCUUUUCUUUUUUUUUUAGGGAGCAAAGUUGAACAGAGCACCACCAGUUUGGAAACAUUUAUUUUGGACUGUUAAGUUUUUUUUGGGGGUGGGGGUGCGUUGGGCUCCUGCGGCCUCCUCUGCGGGGCCGGUGGACCACCCUGGGUCGCUCGGUGUGGGUGGUGUCCUGUCCGCUAGGCUGCUCUCUGGUGGGCUCCUGGGCUCGAUCCCGCCUCUCGGUUGGGUGUGGCGGGCUCCUCAGCCCCCUUGGUGCAGGCGCAGCAAGUGCAGGUCACUUCUGAAGGUUAUUUUGCAUGUGAGAUGGUGUCAAUUUACUUGGAUCCACAGAUACUCACCUUUGUGCUUGGUGUGGGGCCACUCAUUGCAAUAAAUAACUCUUAUAACUAUGCAAACUUCCUGGGUAUCCCGUCACUUGCACUCUGUUUCUAUAGAUGUUUACAAUUUACAUAGCCACUCCCACCACACUUCAGCUAUACAGCCGGGUCCACUACCUCUGUCCUGCAUGCUUCCCUACUGGUCCUUGUCCUUUCCAGUCCUGUCCUAUUUUGUCCUGUCCUUUCUUCACAGGGUGUCGCACUACUGCCCCAUACAACACUUGAAUCUGUCAUUGUACGAUGCAUAUAAUGAUUUAUUUUCCUUAUCUUUCUUUCAGCUAGUGUCCUGUCUUUUGUUGUCUUCUCUUCCUCUAUUUAGUUAUCUUUUCACUGUCGCUUCCUCUUUUUUUUUUGUCACUCCCCUUUAAAACUUUGUUCUGUUUGACUGAAUUUUUAAUAAAAAUCCAUCAGAAUACAAAGAACCAUAGUGGCAUCUCAAAAACUUCACUGUGGCACAGUAAAACUGUUCCGGCAUAAAAGGGAUAAAGAUAAUCCGUUCUGUUUGACCCAACAGCCAAACAGGACAAAAAGGUGGGGAAAAAAUGGAAUUUUCCAGUCUGUGGCACUGUAGUAUCGAGUAAAAGCAAAGAGUUUUGUUUGGAGCUUGGCCACACUCUUGUUGCUUACUAAACCCAUGAGAUGCUCCUUUAACGUUGAAACGUACAUAGCGAUCAUAAGGAUGUAUUUUACAACAUGCUGCUUCUGUAUCCAAGAUGCUGUAUCAAUGCAGGUAUGCUGUAUCAAUGUAGGAACAUACAGCGGCAGAAAUGAGUACGGUGGUUACUGUGUGUUUCACAUUACACAAAACUUAAUUUCUGAUCUUAUUUGUUCUACUUUCUUUGUAUGUAUGGAUUACUUGGGUUGUUCCAACAUCUGGGGAAAAUGUCAUGUCAAAAACACCUUUGGAACUAUAUUUAGUGAGAAAAUAGUGACGUGUUAAACACAUUUCUGCCGCUGUUUGUCAUUGUAGCUGAUAUAAGCAACAGAUAUAACAUAAAACAACUAUUUUAGGGUUAGGUUCUAUGUAUUGUAUUUGUUACUGGUUGCCCUGGAUUUUAAUUGAUGGCGUUAUCUGACAAUAUUUCUUCCACACAAUAGGGGGCGCCACUAACUAAAAAACGCUCCUUAAAGAUCGAAGGAGAAGUCUUGUUUUCGUAUUUGUCCUGGAAGUUGCUUGUAUCGACAUCGACACCAUUCACACGUUUACAUUUUAAUUUUAUUUUAUUUUUAAGGUCAGUGGGGAUUAAAUUUUUAGACUGCAAACAUAAAAAAACAUUUCGUUACGGAAUGUGAAGAAAAUGAUUUUUACGUAAACCGUCCGAGAUACUUAUUAGCCACUAUGCUAAGUCAUAAGUACAGUCAGUGUUUGGCUGUUUUAUCUGUUAGCACUGUACAGUGUACCACAUUAUUCUGUUGGUGUAGAGUUUGAUGGUCUACCACUCGUACCCUUGCGCAUCCAAAAUUGGAUUGUAAUACUUGGGCUGAAAAAAUCGGACCUAGGUUGCUAGGGGGGUUUGUCCACGCAGGCGUUUCAAGUAAUUUCGGAGGUAAGCUAACCUUUGCAGUGGCAUUAAACGAACACACUGCAUGCAAACAGACGUUGCUUACUUUCCUUCAACUCCAAAUCUCUUGACGCACACCUUACAUGAGGGAGGGAACUCUUGGAUGAAGAAUGGAUGCGGUUGACUGGGUAGACGCUUCUCUAUGUCAGCAGAGAAGUCUGAAUUCAGUUUACCAGAGAGACACCGAUGACAGGGGAGUGAACCCACCCUAUAGCAUUUACAGUCAUGCUGACGCUCGGAACUCUGACGGGGAACCUCUGGAAGAUGAAGGUAAUGCAGAGCUGACCAGAAAAAUUAAUGUUCUUCGAGCGAUAGAAGAACGAAUAUUACACAAGAAAGCUGCCAUUCUUAUAAAGGCGAUUGAAAUGAUCAAGAAGACAGAAACUCCAGACUUUAAGGGUGCAACUCUUAGAGAUAGGGUGACUACAAUUUUGCAGCAGCGACAUUCUCUCAACUUCCGGUCAAAGGGCGAGACGAACUGGUCGCCUACUGAGAGGGAUGACUCUCCAAGCCAUAGCACAGUACUGCUGGAAGACCAUCAUCCCUUGAAGCUCAGAGUCAAAGCUGUAAUGAAGCAUAGAGUCUGUGACCCCAGUGGAUUUACAUCAAAAAGCCCGGUUUCCGAUCAUGAAAUGGCCACACGACCUACCCCCCCACCUCCUCCCAGUAAAAGCAUUUGUUCACAAAUCCUGGAAGAGAGUGUUACCAACAAAGGCUUUGAGUGCUUUCUUAACUUGCUCAACAAGGGAGUUGACAUGGACCUGCUCAGUAGGAUUGUCAACGAUGACAGCGAAGAUCUUCAUUUAGAAGACCAACCCUUCAACAGUGAGCCUUCUGGUGUGACGGAAGAUUCAGAUCUGCCUACUAGCAGUGAGAGACUUCAGUUCAACAGUGGACCCCACCUAUCAGAGAACAGUGGAGACAGGACAGAGCUUCCCACUCGUGAACAGUCCCCCAAGGAGACAAACUCACUUCCGGAUGACAAUAAGAACGGCAAUGACUCUUUAAGCUCCAGUAGUAGAUCCAAGUCUCCCCUGACAAUGGAGAAAACCAAAAAAGAAGAAAAAGAAAUGUCAAAGGUCGAUGAGCAGAAUGAACAGCUCCAAAACAUUCUAAACACUUUGGGCUUAAGGCUGGAAGUGGAAGACUUGAGUAAACUAACAGACCGGACUCAAGAGAGGCUGUAUGGAAAAAGGAAUGAAAGCAUGCCAGUGGCUGCCAGCAGAACGGAGGAGCAGAGUCCAGUGACCACAACUGGUUCCUGCAAAAUUGACAGGAAGUCCUCUUCCUCCUCCCCCUCCUCGUUUUCAUCUUCCAGAAGCUGUAGUCGCAGUCCUUCUUACAGACAGCUCGCCCAGAGCAGGGAGUCUCAGGAUCGUCACAAAAAAGAGUCAUUUUCUGCGGGCUCUGGCUCAAGAAAGAGCAGAGAGGAAUUGUCAUCUUUAUAUAUAACCCAAGAUGACAUACAAGCACGGACGACUGUUGGCAAAAACAAAGGUGACGACAUCUUCAAUGAAAUCCCUUAUUUUCAUUCCCAUUGUGAUCCUACUUUGUCUGCUUGCCCAGAUUAUACAUUGCCUCAUUACUCUCACUACGAUACAACCUACAGCAGUGACACCAGCUCUUAUUGGACAAGCACUCCAGGUGUCAGUACCACUCCACAUUAUCCCAGUAGUUCUCCGUACUCAAUGGACACCAACCAUUCUCACCAUGCUAUUCCUCAGUAAGACAUGACCGCGACUCCCUUGAAAAUGUUUUUUUUGUGAAUCCAGACCUGUCUAUGAGUGAAGGUCAAUUUGGCUCAAUCUCUGGCCCUAGGAACCUGCAGGUGGUCAAUAUGAAGCACCCACUUGGCUAUUGUUUGCCACGAAUGACUGGUGCUAUGUCUCUGGAUAAAGAGCAAUCUGACCAAGAGAAAACUAAAAGACUAAAACUGCUAGAGGAACAGGUUCAAGAUGUGCAGACAUUGGGUUCUCAUUGGGACAAUAACAUUCCCUUUGUCGCAAAACAUAUUAAAGCCUCUGGGAAGAAGGUGGAGCCUACCCAUGGUCAGAAAGAUAAAUCAAAGAAAAAACAAACGCCAACAGACGAGGAAAUUAAGGCAAACUUGAGAAAAAAGCUGGAAGCAUUUAACCAGAUGUCAAAGAACAAGUCUCACGCCCAGCCAAAUCCCUAUUCUGACACUCAGUGUGAACCGGUUGGGAUGAAAAUCUGCACCUCCAAAUGUGAGACCAUGGUCCUCAGUCGGAAAAGGGUGGAAUGCCCUCUCCAGGUCGGGGAUGAGAUCCUGCACAAGUAUCUUGGGGUCUUGUACACGAGUGAGGGAAAAAUGGAACGGGAGAUCAAAAGGUGGAUUGGUGCAGCGUCUGCAGUGAUGCAGACUUUGUAUUGGUAUGUUGUGGUGAAGGAGCUAAGCCGAAAGGCGAAGCUCUCCAUUUACCGGUCGAUGUACAUUCCUACCCUCACCUAUGGUUGUGAGCUGUGGGUCGUGACCGAAAGAACAAGAUCACGGAUACACGCGGCCGAAAUGAGUUUCCUCCGCAGGGUGUCCGGUCUCUCCCUUAGAGAUAGGGUGAGAAGCUCGGUCAUGCGUUGGGCCCUGUUGGUGGGUGGGGCCUCCAUGCUCUCCGAUGGUGGUGGGGGCGGUGGUGCCGGGGAGGCUUGCUGGGUGGAGGGUGUGGGGUUGGGCGUGGUCAGGGCGCUUUGGUCGGGCUCGGGACCUCCCUGGGUCAUGAGGGGUCGGUGCCGUCCACCUGGUUGGGUCCCCUGCUGGACGAGCUGGCUGACUCGGCCCCUCCCUUGUGAGGGGGGCUCACCCUUCCUCGAUGUGCCUGCUCAGCAACUCCGUACACCAGUUGACUAACAUGCAUGUGAUAUGGUGUUCAUUCACUAAUAAGUUCGAUAGACACACUGUAGGCUUUAAUUACUUGUGCUGCUCUCACUAACAACACAGGUUAUAAUAACAUAAUCAACUCACAGGUUCUUAAAGGUGUUUAGACACUAAAAAAAAAAUCCCACCGCACCACUCGUCAAUAGCACUGCUUUACUCAUUUUCCUCGCAUCCUGUCCUGCCCUUUUCUGUCCUCAUCUUGUUCUCGUUUUUUUAUUGCAUGUCCUCACUGGGUGUCCCCCCUCCCAAUCUACAAAUGACUGUUGUAAUGUUACUUGUGUUCAAAUAUCUAGACUCUCACUAUUGUUCUGCUGUGUUUCUCACCUCUGUCUGUCCCCUAACACCCUUUUCUGUCCGGCUGCAUUUUCAAUACAUGUCAGGAUAAUAAAAAAAGUUAAAAAUAAGCAGAGGGAGCAUUUCAAACUCCCCUGUUGCACAACAAAACUGUCCAGCACAAAGGCAUACAGAUCCACCAUUCUGCAAGGCCAUGCAGCUGCAACGUAGUCACGUCUGUGUGAUCACAGAUGCACUCCCCUCCAAAGGUAUUGGAACGGCAAGGCCGAUUCCUUUGUUUGUUGUAUACUGAAGACAUUUGGGUUUCAGAUCAAAAGAUGAAUAUGAGACAAAAGUUCAGAAUUCCAGCUUUUAUUUCAUGGUAUUUACAUCUUGCUGUGUUAAACAAAGGACAGAGCACCUUUUGUAUGAAGACACCCACUUUUCAAGUGAGCAGAAGUAUUGGAACAUGUGACUGAUGGGUGUUUCUAGUUGCUCAGUUGCCUUUUAGAUUGAUUGCUUAAACAUUAGUGCUUGUUUUUGGCUUUGGGUUUCACCUGUGAAAACUGCAUUUUUCUGUUAAGCAAAUAUGAAGAACAUACUUUUGGAGGGGACUGUGUGUGCGUGCGUGCAUGUGUGCGGUAUGCAUUAAGGGACUGCAAGGCAUUCUCUGCUGCCCUAAAUCGUAUCAACAGCACUCACCUACAGUUACAACUUAAAUUGUAUUAAUUUAUUUUACAGACUUGAUUUACCUCAUUUCAUUGCCGUUCUGAGGGCUUCCCAGCUUCCAGUAAUGUAAAUGUUAGAUUUAGUUUUUUUUCUCGACCAAUCAGAUUUCAGCUUUUGUGUGUUGCGAUGUCAAUGUGAUCUGCCCAGGGCCUUCAAUGCCAAAAGUCAUGCCAAAAAGGCGCAAAAAGCAAACCUUUACUGCUACAUCUGGCUCGCGGACUUAAGCUUGACAUAUAUGCCAUAAGAAUACUACUCUUGUCCCUCGUGCAGGCUGAGUGACGUCGGCAUUUUUCCGUCCUCUGACUGGUUGAGGCUAAAUAGUCUUGCGAUGUACCGUAUUUUCACGACCAUAAGGCGCACUUAAAAGUUUUCUCCAAAAUGGACAGGGCGCCUUUUAAUGCGGCGCGCCUUAUGUGUGCACCGAGUUCCAGUAUCUGUAAAUGUUGUUGUAUGACUUUGAUGAGCGCUUCGCUUGACUGACUGGGAGCAUUUCCUGCCGACACGCUGCUUAUAUAGUGGAAGGCGGAUGCGACUGAGGACAGCAUGCGGAUGUAAAGGGGGAAGGGUGCGCGUGACAGAGGACGCUAAAGACAAGCCCCCAGUAGGUAUAUAGCCCCGAAAAUGACUGCGGUCAAGCCAGCCUCCACUCGUAAAAUAGCAGUCAAGCCAGCCGCCCCUAAUUUUGUUCAUACUAGGCAUUACGAUAAUAAGUUGCCCACUCGCGGCGAAAGCCACCUUCAAAAUAAAAGCCACCCAAUAAUACGGACAUAUCUCAGAUUUUUUUUAAAGAUUAUGCAGUUUUCAGAGACUUUUAUUUUGAAAUACAAUAUCAGAUCUUCAUCAAACCUCUUUUAUUAGAGUCCUUGGUGGUCUGUCACACAGAUCUGGACUUGUCUUGCGAUACCAAUGGGAUUAUGUUGGGGUGGCUUUGGCUCAGUAGGUAGAACAGGUUUGAAUCCCUGCUACGACUGUCCGCAUGUCGAAGUCUCCUCGGGCAAGACAGUGAACCCUAAUUUGCUCCCAGUGGGCCUGUCAGCGCCUUGCAUGGCAGCAGUCGCCCGUUGGUUUAUGAAUGUGUGUGUGAAUGUGAGGCUUUGUAAAGCGCAUUGGGCACUGUGAUGAUGUAGAUAAAGCACUAUAUAAGUGCAGUCCAUUUACCAUUUAUUUUUCCUAAGAUAUCAAAUAAACUACAUUUUUUAAUGUAUCUCAAGAUUCAAAUGAACUUUGAUGGUUGCAUUCCUUAACCGAAGAACACUGACGUCCAUAUUAUUGGGAGGCUUUUAUUUUGAAGGUGGCUUUCGCCUCGAGUUGGCAACCUAUUACCGUAAUGCCUAGUAUGAACAAAAUUAGGGGCGGCUGGCUUGACUGCUACUUUACGAGUGGAGGCUGGCUUGACCGCAGUCGAAAAUGGCACCUAUGAAGAGACAUGCUUACAAAGCACAGUUUAAACUGCAAGCUAUCAGUUACGCGGAGGAACAUGGGAUUUGAGCAGCCGCGAGAGAAUUCAAGAUCAACGAAUCCAUGGUUAGCAAGUGGAGGAAGCAGGAAAACGAGCUUCGCCGAGUCAAGAAUACUAAGCUGAGUUUCCGCGGAAACAAGGCGAGGUGGCCCGAGUUGGAAGACCAACUCGAGCUAUGGAUUAAUGAGCAAAGAAUAGCCGGGAGAAGAGUCUCUACAGUCACCAUUCGACUGAGUGCAAUAACUCUGGCGUUGAAAGUGAAGUUGCGAGCGGCGUGGAAGCGAUGGAUGACAGAUGGCGAACGCAGCUUUACUAAGACUAGGAGGCAGCGCCGGGCGAGUUAUGCCACAAUUUGUGAAUGGAUUGUGGAUGCUUGGGCUAACGUGUCUGCUUGCACUGUUGUUCGAGCUUUCGUAAAAGCCGGCAUCAUUUCUGAGGAGCCGCACAGCAACGAGACUGACUCCGACAAUGACGAGAGGGAACCUGCCGUGUUUGGAGAACUUGCCCAGCUGUUCAUUUCGGAUGCAGAAGAUGAGGACUUUGAUGGAUUUGUGGAUGAGGAUUGAUAAAAAAAUAAUGUGAGUACAUUGUUAAAUACUUGAAUAAAGUACCACCGAACUCAGUUUUGCUCCCGCUGCCUUUUUAAAAACAUUGUUUGAGCGUGCAUGCAGGCUACCGUAUGUUUUAAGCUAGCGUAUGUUUUACCAUACCAGCGCCCAAUAAUACGGUGCUCCUUAUUGUCGUGAAAAUACGGUACUCUGUGGGUCAGAGGACGACGAAUGGCAAACAUUAUUGAAAACAAUUGUAAAGGCGGCCUUUUCAUGAAAAACUGGACAUUCGUGAGGAUAAGGUUGGACAACACAGUUGCUGGCUGGCUUGUUUAAACCCAGAAAAAGAUUUAUUCAGCACUUCGAGUAAAACGUAUGAGUCCAAACGAGCUAGCUCUGAGCAGCAAAGAAAGGAGGAUGGAUUUUAAUCAUCCGUAAAUAAUCACCAUCUCUAGUGAGUACAAUGUAUUUUGUCUUCAGGUUUUAUGUUUUUGUCAUGUAUUAGAUGCAUUUGCUUGUGUACUGCUGUAUGAUAUUGUAGUGGAGAGGUUUGGUGUUUGGAGAAAGACAUGGGAUAAGUAUGUUGCUUUAGUAAUAAUAGUAGUCACCUCAAAUAUGCGGAAUGCAUCUCUCUGUAGAGCCACGCAUUGUUAUAUUGUGUAUAAGGGGUGGAUUAGGUAACUUCAAUCCCCACUGAAGGCCUAGGUCUGUGACAUCGAAGGAGGAAACUUGUUGUUUGUGUUUGGAAAAUAUAUCUUUUGUGAUACCAGUCGUGAAACCUUCCUGACACACCUCGUAUGUCUAUAUAUGGAGAUGUCAAGUGUGUUUACUGUAAUCAAAUGUGAUCUUUUCAUUGAUUCGCUUUCAUGUGUGAAUUUAACAAAGUUACAUUGUUGGGGCAAUAUGAUUUUGAAUUGUGGGAAAAUCACUAAUUGUAUCUAUUUUUCUUUUUUGUAUGUGUACACAGAUGUGUGACGUUUGACUAAGAACCCUGACCCAGCAGUUGGAUGUAAUAGUCAACACUUGUCAUUGACACUGCUGUUUUUGAUUGCCUUUCCUAAUUUGUAAUGAGUGAUUUACUAACAAAAAAUAAAUAUUUUAGACUAACUUUUUUUCUGAA